rnacentral:rRNA from 1 species
CAGUCGAGGGGUAGCAGGAUCUAGCAAUAGAUUGCUGACGACCGGCGCACGGGUGAGUAACACGUAUCCAACCUGCCGAUAACUCGGGGAUAGCCUUUCGAAAGAAAGAUUAAUACCCGAUGGUAUAAUAAAACCGCAUGGUUUUGUUAUUAAAGAAUUUCGGUUAUCGAUGGGGAUGCGUUCCAUUAGGCAGUUGGUGAGGUAACGGCUCACCAAACCUUCGAUGGAUAGGGGUUCUGAGAGGAAGGUCCCCCACAUUGGAACUGAGACACGGUCCAAACUCCUACGGGAGGCAGCAGUGAGGAAUAUUGGUCAAUGGGCGUAGGCCUGAACCAGCCAAGUAGCGUGAAGGAUGACUGCCCUAUGGGUUGUAAACUUCUUUUAUAUGGGAAUAAAGUUUUCCACGUGUGGAAUUUUGUAUGUACCAUAUGAAUAAGGAUCGGCUAACUCCGUGCCAGCAGCCGCGGUAAUACGGAGGAUCCGAGCGUUAUCCGGAUUUAUUGGGUUUAAAGGGAGCGUAGGUGGACAGUUAAGUCAGUUGUGAAAGUUUGCGGCUCAACCGUAAAAUUGCAGUUGAUACUGGCUGUCUUGAGUACAGUAGAGGUGGGCGGAAUUCGUGGUGUAGCGGUGAAAUGCUUAGAUAUCACGAAGAACUCCGAUUGCGAAGGCAGCUCACUGGACUGCAACUGACACUGAUGCUCGAAAGUGUGGGUA